CCUACGGGAGGCAGCAGUGGGGGAUAUUGCACAAUGGGGGCAACCCUGAUGCAGCGACGCCGCGUGAGCGAUGGAGUACUUCGGUAUGUAAAGCUCUGUCAGCAGGGAAGAGAAUGACGGUACCUGACCAAGAAGCACCGGCUAAAUACGUGCCAGCAGCCGCGGUAAUACGUAUGGGGCAAGCGUUAUCCGGAUUUACUGGGGGUAAAGGGAGCGUAGGCGGCAGGGCAAGCCUGAUGUGAAAGCCCGGGGCUCAACCCCGGGACUGCAUUGGGAACUGCCCCGCUCGAGUGCCGGAGGGGGAGGCGGGAAUGCUAGUGUAGCGGUGAAAUGCGUAGAUAUUAGGAGGGACACCAGUGGCGAAGGCGGCCUGCUGGACGGUGUACUGACGCUGAGGCUCGAAAGCGUGGGGAGCAAACAGGAUUAGAUACCCUUGUAGUC
rnacentral:rRNA from 1 species